GGAAGGAUCAUUCACAAUAAGCGUUUUAUGGCGCUUUUUAAACAAUCCAUAUCCACCUUGUGUGCAACGUUUGAGUUUUCCUUCUCUUUCCUUUACUGCGAGAGAGGAGUACUGCUUAAAUACAUCAACCUUUUUAAACUAGUUUGUCUGAACAUGUAUCAUGAAUUUUACCUAAUUCGAAAAUACAACUUUCAACAACGGAUCUCUUGGCUCUCGCAUCGAUGAAGAACGCAGCGAAAUGCGAUACGUAAUGUGAAUUGCAGAAUUCAGUGAAUCAUCGAAUCUUUGAACGCACAUUGCGCUCUCUGGUAUUCCGGAGAGCAUGCUUGUUUGAGUAUCAGUAAAACACCCUCAGCUCCCCGCUUCUUAGGAAGAGAGGAGCUGGACUUGAGAGAUCCCAACGGCAGUGAGAACUGCUGGCGGGUCACUUGAAAUGCAGGUGCGGCUGGACACAUCUUCUGAGCUAUAAGCAUUACUUAUUUAGUCCCGUAAAACGGAUUAUAUCUAUUGCUGCAGCUAACAUAAAGGUCGAUUGUUCUUGUGCCCGACUGAUGCAGGAAAAUGAAGGCGUCUAAUAGCGUCCUUUGUUCAACUCGAUCUCAAAUCAAGCAAGACUACCCGCUGAACUUAAGCAUAUCAAUAAGCGGAGGAAAAGAAACUAACAAGGAUUCCCCUAGUAACGGCGAGUGAAGCGGGAUGAGCUCAAAUUUAAAAUCUGGCUGGUUUACUAGUCCGAGUUGUAGUUUAAAGAAGCGUUUUCGGUGGCAGCCUGGGUAUAAAUCCUUUGGAACAGGGUAUCGUAGAGGGUGAGAAUCCCGUCUUUGACUCAGUGCUAUGCUACUAUGUGAUACGUUUUCAAAGAGUCGAGUUGUUUGGGAAUGCAGCUCAAAAUGGGUGGUAAAUUUCAUCUAA
rnacentral:rRNA from 1 species